rnacentral:rRNA from 1 species
UACAGAGGGUGCAAGCGUUAAUCGGAAUUAUUGGGCGUAAAGGGUGUGUAGGUGGUUGGGUAAGUUAGAUGUGAAAUCCCCGGGCUUAACCUGGGAACUGCGUUUAAAACUGCUCGGCUAGAGUAUUGCAGAGGAUAGUGGAAUUUCCAGUGUAGCGGUGAAAUGCGUAGAUAUUGGAAGGAACACCAGUGGCGAAGGCGACUAUCUGGGCAAAUACUGACACUGAGACACGAAAGCAUGGGGAGCAAACAGG